UACGAAGGGGGGCGAGCGUUGUUCGGAUUUACUGGGCGUAAAGGGCGCGCAGGCGGCUCAUUUUGUCAGGCGUGAAAGCCCCGGGCUUAACCUGGGAGGUGCGUUUGAUACGGAUGGGCUAGAGUUCGGGAGAGGAGAGUGGAAUUCCCAGUGUAGAGGUGAAAUUCGUAGAUAUUGGGAAGAACACCGGUGGCGAAGGCGGCCAUCUGGACCGGCACUGACGCUGAGGCGCGAAAGCGUGGGGAGCAAACAGG
rnacentral:rRNA from 1 species